GACGAACCGUGCGAACGUUAUUCGGAAUCACUGGGUCUUAAAGCGCGUGGUAGGCGGGUCGGAACGUCGGUCGCUGAAAUCCCCCGGCUUAACCGGGGACGGGCGCCGAACGGCCGGCCUGGAGGGACGUAGGGGGAGCUGGGAACUUCCGGUGGAGCGGUGAAAUGCGUUGAGAUCGGAAGGAACGCCCGUGGCGAAAGCGAGCUCCUGGACGGUUUUCGUGACGCUGAGAGCGAAGCCAGGGGAG
rnacentral:rRNA from 1 species